AUCCUGGCUCAGAUUGAACGCUGGCGGCAUGCCUUACACAUGCAAGUCGAACGGUAGAGUAGCAAUACUCGAGAGUGGCGAACGGGUGAGUAACAUAUCGGAACGUGCCCAAUCGUGGGGGAUAACGUAGAGAAAUUUACGCUAAUACCGCAUACGAUCUACGGAUGAAAGCGGGGGAUCGCAAGACCUCGCGCGAUUGGAGCGGCCGAUAUCAGAUUAGGUAGUUGGUGAGGUAAAGGCUCACCAAGCCGACGAUCUGUAGCUGGUCUGAGAGGACGACCAGCCACACUGGGACUGAGACACGGCCCAGACUCCUACGGGAGGCAGCAGUGGGGAAUUUUGGACAAUGGGCGCAAGCCUGAUCCAGCAAUGCCGCGUGCAGGAUGAAGGCCUUCGGGUUGUAAACUGCUUUGUACGGAACGAAACGGUGAGCUCUAAUACAGUUUGCUAAUGACGGUACCGUAAGAAUAAGCACCGGCUAACUACGUG
rnacentral:rRNA from 1 species